rnacentral:rRNA from 1 species
CCUACGGGAGGCAGCAGUGGGGAAUAUUGCACAAUGGGGGAAACCCUGAUGCAGCGACGCCGCGUGAGUGAAGAAGUAUUUCGGUACGUAAAGCUCUAUCAGCAGGGAAGAAAAUGACGGUACCUGACUAAGAAGCCCCGGCUAACUACGUGCCAGCAGCCGCGGUAAUACGUAGGGGGCAAGCGUUAUCCGGAUUUACUGGGUGUAAAGGGAGCGUAGACGGCAGCGCAAGUCUGGAGUGAAAUCCCAUGGCUUAACCAUGGAACUGCUUUGGAAACUGUGCAGCUAGAGUGCAGGAGAGGUAAGCGGAAUUCCUAGUGUAGCGGUGAAAUGCUUAGAUAUCACGAAGAACUCCGAUUGCGAAGGCAGCUCACUGGACUGCAACUGACACUGAGGCUCGAAAGUGUGGGCAUCAAACAGGAUUAGAUACCCGUGUAGUC